rnacentral:rRNA from 1 species
GUGAGUCAUCGAAUCUUUGAACGCAUCUUGCGCUCCUUGGUAUUCCGAGGAGCAUGCCUGUUUGAGUGUCAUUUGACUUAUCAACCGCUUCAUGGUGAACAUGGACGUGGCUUUGGAUGUGGGGGUCUUUGCAGGCUUUUUUUAAUCUGAAAGGUCGGCUCCCCUGAAACGCAUUAGUGGCAUCUGAGCUGCUACUAUAGGUGUGAUAAAUUAUCUAUGCCUUUGGUAUGCUGCAUGAACGGAUUGCGCUGCUUACAACGACGAAAAAGAACUUGACAAACUUGACCUCAAAUCAGGUAGGACUACCCGCUGAACUUAAGCAUAUCAAUAAGCGGAGG